AGUGAACGCUGGCGGUAGGCCUAACACAUGCAAGUCGAACGGCAGCACAGGAGAGCUUGCUCUCUGGGUGGCGAGUGGCGGACGGGUGAGGAAUACAUCGGAAUCUACUUUUUCGUGGGGGAUAACGUAGGGAAACUUACGCUAAUACCGCAUACGACCUACGGGUGAAAGCAGGGGACCUUCGGGCCUUGCGCGAUUGAAUGAGCCGAUGUCGGAUUAGAUAGUUGGCGGGGUAAAGGCCCACCAAGGCGACGAUCCGUAGCUGGUCUGAGAGGAUGAUCAGCCACACUGGAACUGAGACACGGUCCAGACUCCUACGGGAGGCAGCAGUGGGGAAUAUUGGACAAUGGGCGCAAGCCUGAUCCAGCCAUGCCGCGUGUGUGAAGAAGGCCUUCGGGUUGUAAAGCACUUUUGUCCGGAAAGAAAAGCAUUCGGUUAAUAACCGGGUGUCAUGACGGUACCGGAAGAAUAAGCACCGGCUAACUUCGUGCCAGCCGCCGCCGUAAAAC
rnacentral:rRNA from 1 species